AUUGAACGCUGGCGGCAUGCUUUACACAUGCAAGUCGGACGGUAGCACAGGGGAGCUUGCUCCUCGGGUGACGAGUGGCGGACGGGUGAGUAAUGUCUGGGAAACUGCCUGAUGGAGGGGGAUAACUACUGGAAACGGUAGCUAAUACCGCAUAACGUCGCAAGACCAAAGAGGGGGACCUUCGGGCCUCUUGCCAUCAGAUGUGCCCAGAUGGGAUUAGCUAGUAGGUGGGGUAACGGCUCACCUAGGCGACGAGCCCUAGCUGGUCUGAGAGAAUGACCAGGCACACUGGAACUGAGACACGGGCCAGACUCCUACGGGAGGCAGCAGUGGGGAAUAUUGCACAAUGGGCGCAAGCCUGAUGCAGCCAUGCCGCGUGUAUGAAGAAGGCCUGCGGGUUGUAAAGUACUUUCAGCGGGGAGGAAGGUGUUGUGGUUAAUAACCGCAGCAAUUGACGUUACCCGCAGAAGAAGCACCGGCUAACUCCGUGCCAGCAGCCGCCGUAAUAC
rnacentral:rRNA from 1 species